AUCUAUGAUUCUCAUAAUAGCAAGACUUGUCACCAGUGUAGACAAAAAACCACGGAUUUUGCAUCACCAUGCAAGAGAAAGAUCAACGAUAAGCAAUGUAUCAUCCAUUUUUGUCACAAAUGCCUCUUGAACAGAUAUGGAGAAAAGGCUGAGGAGAUGGAUUUGUUAAGUGAUUGGACUUGUCCGAGAUGUAGAGGAAUUUGCAACUGUAGUUUCUGCAUGAAGAAGCGAGGUCAUCACUCAUCAGCCUACUGGCAUCCUCGUACUGCAGAGAAGGCGAAUGGGUUUACCUCAGUCUCAGAUAUGCUGCAUCUUAGGGAAUCUGAAAGAUCAGGUUCCCAAGAGACCAACGAUGCGGCUGUAUUGUCCAAAAAAGCAAAAAGCUGCAGAUAAGGAAUCUGGAAUAGAAAAAACUGGCAAUAGC